rnacentral:rRNA from 1 species
CCACUUCGGUGGGGAUUAGUGGCGAACGGGUGAGUAACACGUGGGCAAUCUGCCCUGCACUCUGGGACAAGCCCUGGAAACGGGGUCUAAUACCGGAUACUGACCACCACAGGCAUCUGUGGUGUUCGAAAGCUCCGGCGGUGCAGGAUGAGCCCGCGGCCUAUCAGCUUGUUGGUGAGGUAACGGCUCACCAAGGCGACGACGGGUAGCCGGCCUGAGAGGGCGACCGGCCACACUGGGACUGAGACACGGCCCAGACUCCUACGGGAGGCAGCAGUGGGGAAUAUUGCACAAUGGGCGCAAGCCUGAUGCAGCGACGCCGCGUGAGGGAUGACGGCCUUCGGGUUGUAAACCUCUUUCAGCAGGGAAGAAGCGAAAGUGACGGUACCUGCAGAAGAAGCGCCGGCUAACUACGUGCCAGCAGCCGCGGUAAUACGUAGGGCGCGAGCGUUGUCCGGAAUUAUUGGGCGUAAAGAGCUCGUAGGCGGCUUGUCGCGUCGGUUGUGAAAGCCCGGGGCUUAACCCCGGGUCUGCAGUCGAUACGGGCAGGCUAGAGUUCGGUAGGGGAGAUCGGAAUUCCUGGUGUAGCGGUGAAAUGCGCAGAUAUCAGGAGGAACACCGGUGGCGAAGGCGGAUCUCUGGGCCGAUACUGACGCUGAGGAGCGAAAGCGUGGGGAGCGAACAGGAUUAGAUACCCUGGUAGUCCACGCCGUAAACGGUGGGCACUAGGUGUGGGCAACAUUCCACGUUGUCCGUGCCGCAGC